rnacentral:rRNA from 1 species
GNNNUUUCGCAGGCCUACACAUGCAAGUCGGACGGUAGCACAGAGAGCUUGNUCUUGGGUGACAAGUGGCGGACGGGUGAGUAAUGUCUGGGGAUCUGCCCGAUAGAGGGGGAUAACCACUGGAAACGGUGGCUAAUACCGCAUAACGUCUCAAGACCAAAGAGGGGGACCUUCGGGCCUCUCACUAUCGGAUGAACCCNCAUGGGAUUAGCUAGUAGGCGGGGUAAUGGCCCACCUAGGCGACAAUCCCUAGCUGGUCUGAGAGGAUGACCACCCACACUGGAACUGAGACACGGUCCACACUCCUACGGGAGGCANCACUGGGGAAUAUUGCACAAUGGGCGCAAGCCUGAUGCACCCAUGCCCCGUGUAUAAAAAAAGCCUUCUGGUUGUAAAAUACUUUCACCGGGGAGGAAAGCGACAGGGUUANUAACCCUGUCUAUUGUCGUUUCCCCCACAAAAAACACCGGCUAACUCCGUGCCAUUACCCGCGGUAAUACGGAGGGGGCAAUCGUUAUU